GAUGAACGCUGGCGGCGUGCCUAAUACAUGCAAGUCGAGCGAACGGACGAGAAGCUUGCUUCUCUGAUGUUAGCGGCGGACGGGUGAGUAACACGUGGAUAACCUACCUAUAAGACUGGGAUAACUUCGGGAAACCGGAGCUAAUACCGGAUAAUAUUUUGAACCGCAUGGUUCAAAAGUGAAAGACGGUCUUGCUGUCACUUAUAGAUGGAUCCGCGCUGCAUUAGCUAGUUGGUAAGGUAACGGCUUACCAAGGCAACGAUGCAUAGCCGACCUGAGAGGGUGAUCGGCCACACUGGAACUGAGACACGGUCCAGACUCCUACGGGAGGCAGCAGUAGGGAAUCUUCCGCAAUGGGCGAAAGCCUGACGGAGCAACGCCGCGUGAGUGAUGAAGGUCUUCGGAUCGUAAAACUCUGUUAUUAGGGAAGAACAUAUGUGUAAGUAACUGUGCACAUCUUGACGGGACCUAAUCAGAAAGCCACGGCUAACUACGU
rnacentral:rRNA from 1 species